rnacentral:sRNA from 1 species
CAGCCAGAUCUGAAGGCUGGAGUCCACUGUGCCUCAACUGUGCCUCAACUUGGAGAAAACUACUUCUGGAGAUGUGGGGGAAGGUAGUUCAGCCUCCAUGCCCAUUCAGCCCUUGGCCUUU